GACAGAGGGUGCAAACGUUGUUCGGAAUUACUGGGCGUAAAGCGUGUGUAGGCGGCCGCGAAAGUCGGAUGUGAAAGCCCUGGGCUCAACUCAGGAAGUGCACCCGAUACUGCGUGGCUCGAGUACCGGAGAGGUUGGUGGAAUUCUCGGUGUAGAGGUGAAAUUCGUAGAUAUCGAGAGGAACACCUGUGGCGAAGGCGGCCAACUGGACGAGUACUGACGCUGAGACACGAAAGCGUGGGGAGCAAACAGG
rnacentral:rRNA from 1 species